GAUGAAGCAGUUUCAAAGAUCUCCACUGAGGAGGGAGGCGUACUGAGGAACAGGGCAGGCUUCAUGGCAGGCAGUUCCUCAGUGCCUCCAUCCUUGCUAUACAACCUCGAUGCACUAGGUAGCACUGUAAGCUCAGAGGCUGACUGUGCUGUUCCAGCCACAUUCUUGGCCACACAACAGUAUAGCCCAGCGUCUGAGACAGAGACCCCUUGGAUGUGUAAACGCUCCCUAGUGGCCUCAUAGGCCAGCAUCCGCUGCCUCACAUGGAGUGCAGCAGAGGUGCUGACUGAGCCCAGAGGGUUGGAGAUCACACAGGUGACUGUGCCACCGUGCUGCGGGAGCAGGGGUGAGAAGGUCAGU
rnacentral:lncRNA from 1 species